CUGAGUUAGGCAAAACGAUUUGGCCAUAAUAUUAUUGACUAGAGAAUAAAGAAGAAAGGCACAUGAACCAACCCGUUUACUGUUCCUCCAAUCACCCUCUCCCUCUAGAACCUUCUUCACCCAACGACGCCGUUUUCAGCUACUGGAAGUGGCGGGACCAGACCAACGCAGACGUCGACGACGGUGGUGGUACUGCUACUACUGUCACUUCUUGGAGGGCCUGCAGUGACUGCGGUAACAGGGCCAAGAAGGAGUGCAAGUUUAGGAGGUGCAGGACUUGUUGCCGGGCACGUGCCUUCCCAUGUUCUACUCACGUGAGGAGCACGUGGGUUCCCGUCGCUUCCCGGAGGAAACGUCCGGCGGUGGAAAUCUCCGGCGUCGGAGAUGGUUCUUCUGGGUCUUCUUUUUCUGCUUCGAAAAAGCCCAGGUUCAAUGAUUCUCAGACUACUGCUGCUUCUUACUCGAGUACCUCGAUUUCCAAUAAUGCCCUCAAUACUUUCACUCACCAAGAUGCAAUUUUGAAGCAGUCUUUGCCGAGUAAAGUCCAUGCUCCUGCGAUUUUCCGGCGUCAUAGAGUGACAGCCAUUAGCGAUGGCGAUGGCGAGGUUGAGGUUGCAUACCAGGUUGCUGUGAGAAUUUGUGGCCAUGUCUUCAAGGGCUUUUUGUAUGAUCAAGGAGUUGAUGAGAAGAAUGGAGACUACUCUUCUUCUUCACCUAUUGUGGUUCUGUCCACACCCAAUCCGAGCUCCCCAAGCUGAUAUAUGAAGCACUUGCCAAACCAGAACAGGUAAUUUAAGAGAGCUUAAUGUUGUUUGUUUUAAAAUGUUGAAAAUAUCUUAACUUGUGUAGUGUUUUUGAGCUAGCCCUUUAAGAAAUGUGAGACACUCAUGACUUGCAGCUUGGAAUGGGAUUUUACUAGGUCAAUGGGUAGUUGACAUGUUUGACUCAAGCUGGUCUCUCUUCAUUAAUUAAUUUCUAGUGAAAAAAAGGGACUAAAAAAAUAAAAUCCUCACAUAUUUUUAUCAUAGGUUAUGGUUAUAUAAUUAGACAGCAUGUUGGAAAGAUUAUCAAUUACCUAAUUCAUCCACGAUAUGUGAUCAUUUGGUCUUAACAAAUCUAUCUUAUAUAAAUGACGAGCCAAGAGUUUAUAUUUUUA